rnacentral:rRNA from 1 species
GGCUCAGAUUGAACGCUGGCGGCAUGCCUUACACAUGCAAGUCGAACGGCAGCACGGGAGCAAUCCUGGUGGCGAGUGGCGAACGGGUGAGUAAUAUAUCGGAACGUGCCCAGUCGUGGGGGAUAACGUAGAGAAAUUUACGCUAAUACCGCAUACGAUCUAAGGAUGAAAGCGGGGGACCGUAAGGCCUCGCGCGAUUGGAGCGGCUGAUAUCAGAUUAGGUUGUUGGUGAGGUAAAAGCUCACCAAGCCGACGAUCUGUAGCUGGUCUGAGAGGACGACCAGCCACACUGGGACUGAGACACGGCCCAGACUCCUACGGGAGGCAGCAGUGGGGAAUUUUGGACAAUGGGCGCAAGCCUGAUCCAGCAAUGCCGCGUGCAGGAUGAAGGCCUUCGGGUUGUAAACUGCUUUUGUACAGGAAGAAACCCUUUCACGUGUGGAAGAUUGACGGUACUGUAAGAAUAAGGAUCGGCUAACUCCGUG